AGCAACGGGCCGAGGACUCCAGCAGCAGAGGCGAUGGGUCUCCCCGGUUCCAUGGCCGUCACCAUCCCAUCACCUGAACUCUCGUGGUCCACCGUGUCUUACUUACACUGUACCCAAGCAGCAGCAUUAGCUUUGUGCCUUUUUCGUAUUUGCGCCUUCCACUAUGUUAUGUAUUGGAACCGACUGUCCGGCUGUAACUGGUCAAGUGGGCUGGCAGAGCGGGAAAUUCCGUCACUUUAAGCGACCAUCUCCCGACCAUUGUUGCUGUUUCUGUAGCAACGGAGCUGAGACCACAAGUCAGCUGCAGUGUCUGUAUCCUCAACGUUGUGGCAAACAGCCAUGUUUAACGUUAGACGCUGCUUUGUGCUAACCAUACAGGCGCUUACAGCAACCUCCCUCUAGGUGCACAGAUAGCGUCCCUGUUGUGGCCGACGCAGGCUGCCCAAAUACCUGCACACAACGCGCACAGUUAAAGCAUCCUGAUACGGAUGGAUGGAGGGAUGGGCGGAUGGAGGGAUGGAUGGGUUCAUCUGCUCUCAAUUGUGGGUGUUUCCACAUACCGCAGGAUGACGACCUCAUGCAGCCCAGCGACUGCUCCUGGCUACCCAAGCUCGUGCAGCAAUUCGAAGCCAUGCCCUCCCUGGCCAUGGUGG
rnacentral:lncRNA from 1 species